UGCGUGUGUGUGUGUGUGUUUGUGUGUGUGUGUGUGUGUGUGUGUGUACAUCUAUGAGGUCUGAGGCAAAGAGUUUUAGAAAAUGCUUUCAAUAUUUCGGCUGUGUGGUAAUAUUCAGCCAUAAAAAAAUCUAAGGAAUUCGACAAUGUUUUCUGUCAGCAAGGAGACUUACUGCAAGGAAUAGUUCCAAAUAUUUUGUUAAAGAAACCCAAUACUAGGCCUGUAACAGUGAUCCCUAUAAAGGGACAAAGAAAAAAAAUAGUUACAAUGAAUAAAAAAAAAC